UUGCACAAGCGUCAGACGCAAUUUCCGGAUACUUGUUAACAACAGCGUGAUACCAUUCUUAGAAAUCAAUGUAAUUAACCACGUCUGAUUGCCUCAAAUCAAGUGUCAACAUGUUCAAAAUCGUUCCAUUACAAAUAAGCGCGCCUUUUGUUUAAAGUGAUUAAUUCGGGAAAUUAGUAUCGUGGCACACAACCGCAUUUGUGCAUCUGUCAUCAAGCUCUUAGCCUAAGGCACUCUCUUAAAAUCAUAUGCACAAUUACACAAGUAUGAAUCUCAAAAGGGCCUGAUGAGACACCUGAUGCUAACGUGUUAGGAAAUAGGAGCAAUAAUGUACAAGCACCAUGAAGACACUUACACAGCACAGUUGGAUCUGUUCUUUCACAGAGUUAUAUAUCCAUGAUGACCUUGCUCAGAAUUCUGCCUGUUUUUCACAAGUAGGGUUUGAUUAGAACAUAUGUGACAAGUACAUCAUGACGGAAGAGAGUUUGAGGGAAUCAAUUCUUUAUCAAAGUUCACAAGAUCAUGAUCACGAAGAUGGUGGAAUUGGCAGACUGGACAACACAGCUGCAUCCGACCUGCUGGAGCAGCAGCAGGCUAUGGAGCAGGCACGACUCCUGACACGGUUCCGGGAGCUGCGUCAGUGGCAGCUGCAGCAGCAGGAGCAGUUGAUGCAUCAGCAGAAGACGCAGCUGGAGGGACUGCGACAGGAACAGCUGAAGGUGCAGAGCCUGCUACACAGAGAGAGAGAGGUGCAGUGGGGUGGAGGGAAAGUGAUACGUCAGCAAGGAAACACGCCUACAAAGACCCCUCCCCGUCGACGCCCACCUCUCCCAGCCAACAACGAACUGAUGACAGCCCUGAUGUCAGUGGUGGGGAGCCAGGAUCCACUAGCUGUUACACUAGACCAGUCUGUGUCUCAGUCCCAGACGUCUCUGCCCAUGCCGGUGUUGUAUGGGCCCCCGGCGCCGAUGUUGGACGAUACCAGCACCAACCCAGAAUUGUUCAGCAACCCAGAGUCACGCCCGGACUACCAGAGAGACAUCGACGCGGUGGAUGAUGGCGUCUGUCCCAUGCCUGACAACAUCUCUGAGAUAAGUGAUGGCUCAUAUAUGCCUCAUGGUCAGAAGAAAAACUUUAUAAGGACUCAACCGUUCCUCGGUGACCUUGCAUCAGACACUGCUUCAGUGAGGAGUGAUGGGUCGUACAUCCCUCCAAAACAGUUUAUGUCGCGGAAUGGCAGCGCUAUGCCCAUGCAGAUGCCGGUGUCACCCGAGGCGGCGUCCCUGUUGCAGACAUUGCUGCAGACGACCAAAGCUGACACAUUGAAACAGAUGCUAGGUCUCGUCCCUCCUGAGCGUGUCGUGAUUCCGGACCAGCCACAAGGGAUGCGGUCCAGAGUUGCGGACAACGAUCAGGACAUGGAUGUCAACAGAAACUGCUCUCGUGUUCAGCGCAGUCAGGAUUAUGUGGAUGAUGAAGAACAGCAUCACAAAUAUGACCGACUCCAUAAUGGGUCCCGCCAUCACUUAGAGAAGCCCCGAGAUGACAGCAGUGUUUCUGGUCGACACAGACGGAGUGCUGAGUACAGACAUACCAGUCAGGGAGAAAGGGACUUCGGUCAAAUACAGCCCGACAUGGAGAGGUUGCUUAGAGAUGCCCAAGUUCAAGGUCACUGGAAUCAGCGGAAUGGGCAACAGCUUGAUGAUACAGUCGAGGAUGACAGUUUGAUGGAGCAGGAAGUAGCAGACAUCACGGUUCAAGAGGUCCAGGAGAUGAAGGUGCUAGGUAUUGAUGACAGACCCAUCAAGUCGGAGUUGGCAGGCAAGAAGACGUUUGACCAGCUGCUGGAGGAACAGAUGAAGGAGGAAGAGGAGAGGCUGAGAGCAGGUGCUUGUGAUUCCCCCAGUACCAGAAAGAAGCCAUUUCUACGCAAAGGUCAAGGUUUGGCCAGGUUCGGCCCUGGGAAGAAAAAGGCAGCCCCUAGAAAACCUGCGACGACCGAGAAACUCCUUGACAACAAACCAUCCGCGAACACCGAGUCGAAGCCUGUCAGUAGAGUAGUGAAGGUUAACAAGGCAGCUCCCAAACCAAAGAAGUCCUCAGCUGUUUCCUCUCACAAGGUCAGCAAGGAGCCACAGUCUAGUCAGACAAAUGGACCAAAGAAAGAACCCUCUCCCAAGCAGAAGAACAAGACCACAGCCCGAAUCUCGCCACGUCAAACUGCCCCAAAACACAGCACGGCGCCACACACGGACUCCCCACCCAAUGUGAAGAGGGUGGGCCAGGCAGACUCGCCCGGUACGAAGGGGGUAGGCCGGACAGAGGAAGCUGUGCAGUUUGACGAUGAUGCAUCAUUUGUGGGGAAAAUAAGGAAAAUUGAAGAAAAUAAGAAGGUUGAGGAGGAUGAGCUGGAGGUGUUUGAGCUGCUGGAGGACUUCGCCGACAAUGUCUCCUUCUGCAGCAACUCCUCCGUGGUGUCGCGCCUGCUGCAGAAGGGGCGGGAAGAGCACCAAGCAAAUUUGAAAAAUGUCAAGGCUGUUAUAGAAGCUAAGAAGAAUGAGAAGGGAAAGCUUCCUGGACAUGCUACCAACAGUAGGUCGGGGAAACCCCGGCUCCCUGCCCACCCCGAGAUGUCCCCAAGGGACACGUCACUGAUAGACGGGGUGGAUCUCGACACCUCCUCCGACACCCUCACUGACUCUUCCUCCUCCGAGUCUUCUGAUGAGGAGUACGAGAAGGUCAAGGUCACACCGACAAAGAAAUCGGAUGUGAAUCAGUCCUAUGAGGCAUUAUUUGAUCAAAGUCAAAAGGAAGGAUUUGUGUUUGUGAACAAUAAGAACAGUGAUAGUGACGCCUUUAGAUCGUCUGAUUCAGAAAUACGGACUUCAGUGCCUUUGUCUCCAACUAAAUCAUUGACUCGUAAAAUCGCUGUUAAAGACGCAAGGCUUGGUGACUCCAGUGAGAUGCAGUCUAUACUGGAGAGACUAGCGGCCGGGGCGGAGGGAGUGGCACGAGGGACGGACGUACACGCAGGGGUCAUGACAGAUCCUUGUAGUUCUCAGGACCAGGUGAUGGUAAAUCAGAUGUUUGGCGGUGACAGCGUUGGCGGCGUUCCCCACACCAGGAGCUCCAGCAGCAGUGAGGAUGGUAUGGACGAAGACGACAGUGACGAUAGCAUUACUCGGGUCAAAGGUCAGAAGUCACAUGAUCCUGAGGUGAAGGACACGUCCUCCCUGUUUGAUGAUGAGGAUGAGUGGGCCGUUUCAGCUCCACAGACACAGAUGGCUAUGUUGGAUGCUGAAUCAGCCAGUCUGGAUGCUGACAAGUCGACACCACCCACAUCUCGACUAGUGGCCCGGCUCUUCCCCAAACUGAAGAACGCCAACCAGGUGAAACAGGCAGAGAAACACCAACAGGAGCAGCAGAAGCUCCAGGCUGUUGCCAAGGCAACGCUAGGUGAUGGGGUGCAGUCCAAGAUUCUUCGGGAUAAGCUGACUGAGAUGGACAAGGAGAUCGAGAAGUUCCGCAACGAGAACGCAGGUCUUGAAAAGUUGCGGCGAGAUAGAGAGGAGCUGUUGGGCAAGUUGCGGCAGGAGAUCUGCGACUUCGAGAAGGAGAAGGACUUGGAGGUCAAGCGCCUCGAAGAGUUCCGAGCACAGGAGGUGAAGAAGCUGAAGCAUGAGAGGAAGUUAUUCGAGCAGUACCAGAAGACUGUCAGGUCCAUGCCAGACAAACGGGAGAGGGAGGAGAUAGAUGCUCUCAAGCGACAGUUGUCAGAGCUGCAGGAUGAGAUGAAGAAGAAGGAGGGGCGGUGGACGUCGGCCAGCAACCGUCUGCGUCAGCGCCUGGAGGUGGUGGAGAUGGAGAACCAGGAACUGAAGGAGGAGGUGAAGUUGCUGGAGAAACGUCGCCUCGAGAUGUUGCAGCGGGAGACGCAGAAGAAGAAUGGUGUCCAGAAGAGUUUUCCUCGGUGCAGCACCCCCACGGAGGACAAGGAGAGGGACGUCGUCAGUGCAGUCAUCAGCAGCCAGGACCCAGUGGCCAGGUCGGCCCUACCACCUCACCACCCCCUGCUCAAUGGCUCUCAACAUUCCCAGUCCACCCUCCGACCUGACCACACCCAUGGCCACAAUGUGUCUGGUGAUGCCAUCCCUCGGAGUCAGCCGUCCGCUCCACUGUCACUGCCCAGAUCCUCAAGUCAGUCCCCCGAUGAUGACACUAGCUCAGUGGGUGCUGUUGUCAAUCUUCCACGGAAACAAAUCAGCAAGUUCUCCUCGGAGGACCCCGCUAUCGACAAGGGCGACCGCGAGUACGAGGAGACCCAGUACCCGGACGGGAAGGUUGAGAGAACGUACAGUAACGGGGCCCGGGAAAUACUCUUCGCCAAUGGAACAAGGAAGGAGAUCUCAUCAGACGGACAGUCAAUCAUUGUGUCCUUCUUCAAUGGCGACAUUAAACAGAUCUUCCCGGACCAGCGAGUUGUGUACUUCUAUGCAGAUGCUCAGACCACCCACACAACUUACCCCGACGGCCUGGAGAUCCUGCAGUUUCAGAACAACCAGAUAGAGAAGCACUACCCUGAUGGCACGAAGGAGAUCACAUUCCCGGACCAGACCAUCAAGUAUCUGUUUCCAAACGGAUCUGAGGAGAGCAUAUUCCCAGAUGGCACCGUGAUCCGCGUGGAGAAGUCCGGAGACAAGACGAUGGAGUUCCCUAACGGUCAGCGGGAAAUACACACAGAAACAUACAAGAGGAGGGAAUAUCCAGAUGGCACCGUGAAGACUGUAUACCCUGAUGGGCGCCAGGAGACUCGCUACUCCACGGGGAGGAUACGACUCAAAGACAAGGAUGGGAAUGUCAUCAUGGAUCGGAUGUGUUGACAGGAGCAUCUCGUGUGUACUCGUCUUGACAGUGUGAUCUGGAUGGUUUUGAGGUGGCGUAGGCCUGUGGUUAAAGUGUUUGCUCAUAACGCCCGGGGUCGAUUCCCCACAUAGGUAUAAGUGAAGACUGUUUCUGGUGUCCCUUGCUGUGAUAUUGCUGGAAAGUUGCUAAAAGUGACAUGCAUCCCUAUUCACUCUCGCAUUGUUGAUGAAAAUGGACUGACGCUUCUCUGGAAUAUCAUAUCACUCUGUUGAGGAACACAUUGCGAGGAUAUGUUGGUAUCCAGGCAAGGUUGUAAUAUACUUUGAUACAACUGGCUUUGCUACGGAUAAUGGAGAUGUCAUAUCUCAGCUGUAGGGGACUGUAAUGUGAUGAUACUGGACUAGUGACUCCUUGCAUCACACCAGAUGACUAGAUGAAUUGAAACUUACAGCUGACGUGAAGAAAUUUGUUUCUUGCGAAUUUGAUGGACAACACCAAGAUUCCUCCACCAACAUACAACUGUUGUUUGUAUGCUUUCUCUGAUCUAGUGGAUCUGAUGGACAACAUACACCUUCUCUGAUCUUGUGGAUCCGAUGGACAACAUACGACUUAUCUGAUCUAGUGGAUCUGAUGGACAACAUACACCUUCUCUGAUCUUUGGGUUCGAUGGACAACAUUCGACUUAUCUGAUCUAGUGGAUCUGAUGGACAACAUAUGUCUUCUCUGGUCUAGUGGAUCUGAUGGACAACAUGCACCUUCUCUGAUCUAGUGGAUCUGAUGGACAACAUAUGUCUUCUCUGAUCUAGUGGAUCUGAUGGACAUCAUACACCUUCUCUGAUCUAGUGGAUCUGAUGGACAACAUACACCUUCUCUGAUCUAGUGGAUCUGAUGGACAACAUACGACUUAUAUGAUCUAGUGGAUCUGAUGGACAACAUACACCUUCUCUGAUCUAGUGGAUCUGAUGGACAACAUACGACUUAUAUGAUCUAGUGGAUCUGAUGGACAACAUACACCUUCUCUGAUCUAGUGGAUCUGAUGGACAACAUACACCUUCUCUGAUCUAGUGGAUCUUAUGGACAACAUACACCUUCUCUGAUCUAGUGGAUCUGAUGGACAACAUACACCUUCUCUGAUCUAGUGGAUCUGAUGGACAACAUACACCUUCUCUGAUCUAGUGGAUCUGAUGGACAACAUACACCUUCUCUGAUCUAGUGGAUCUGAUGGACAACAUACACCUUCUCUGAUCUAAUGGAUCUGAUGGACAACACAAGGUGCCUCCACCAACAUAAGCCUGGUGUUUGUACACAUUUGUAACUAGUGGAUCCGAUGGACAAUGUAUGCCUUCUUUGAGUGGAUCUGAUGGACAACACAAGGUGCCUCUACCAACUUUAGCCUUGUGUUUGUGCCUGUUUGUAUCGAUUGGAACUGAUGGAAAACACAAGGUGCCACUUUCAUUUUCCAUACAUCCUUUCUCAUCAUGACAGUGUCAUGUGAAGUGCUUCAUGACAUUUGCAACACAUGACAGUGUCAGUUACUGACAGAAUAUGGUCUCCAGGAAAUCUAUAAGAGGAGGGAAUAUCCAGAUGGCACCGUGAAGACUGUAUACCCUGAUGGCCGCCAGGAGACUCGCUACUCCACGGGGAGGAUACGACUCAAAGACAAAGAUGGGAAUGUCAUCAUGGAUCGGAUGUGUUGACCGGAGCAUUAUUGUGUGUUCUGGUCUUGAUAGUUUGAGGUGGCGCAAGGCCUGUGGAUGAAGUGUUCACUCUCCACGCCUAAAAAAAUAAAAUAUUUAUGUCAGGUGCCAAAUAUCUGUGAUAUACCUAGGUCACAAAUGGUUGUACAAAUGUGGAAGUGUUUUAACCUGUUUGUGAUAAGACUUUUCUUCACCAAUUCUUCACCUCGAUUUAAUUGGCUGUUUUUGGAAUUGUAGCGUUUUAGGACAAGUCUUUGAGCAGGUUCCCAAUUUCACAAAGAACACAGUGUCUGGAGAUGUUGAUUUGUGAAACAUUUGGUGCAUAAUGUUAAGACCUUUCAGUGAAAGCUGCAACGCCAUUGACUUGGUCACAUAUGUACUUGACAGGGGGACAAUAGGAUUGAGAUUAUGUUCUGAUUUGAUUUCAAUAUCCAAUUAAGAUGGAAUAUCACACAAGAAAUAGGUAAUCAACAAAGUUAUGUACCGUUUUGCAAUAGAUCAAAAUUUAAGAGAGCUUUACCAUGAAAUCUUAUUUGCCCAAAAGUGUGUUUUACCAAUUUAUAACAACUCUAAGCCCUACUUCCUUAAAUCUUUCCACACUGAAGCAAUAACUUGUCUGACAACAGAAUAGAUCCUCUUACAUAUAGGGUAGAGAGAUCUAAAUAAAUCAUGUUAAAACCUGUGUAUUUAAAGAUGAAAAAAGCAUUUAUGAUAUCAGUUAGUUGUGUUGUCUGAUGCAGCCAGUAUAUUGUACAGAGCUUCACAAGUGCCUUGUAGUCGGUGUUUAAGACGCAUCAUAUUUACAUGAUGAAUAAAUGAAUGAAACUAAAAA
rnacentral:misc_RNA from 1 species